rnacentral:tRNA from 1 species
CGGGGGUUGGCUCAGCUUGGUAGAGCGCUUGAAUGGGGUUCAAGAGGCCGAGAGUUCAAAUCUCUCACCCCCGA